rnacentral:rRNA from 1 species
AUUGAACGCUGGCGGCAGGCUUAACACAUGCAAGUCGAGCGAGCGGCGGACGGGUGAGUAAUGUCUGGGAAACUGCCUGAUGGAGGGGGAUAACUACUGGAAACGGUAGCUAAUACCGCAUACCAUCAGAUGUGCCCAGGUGGGAUUAGCUAGUGGGUGGGGUAACGGCUCACCUAGGCGACGAUCCCUAGCUGGUCUGAGAGGAUGAACGGCCACAUUGGGACGAGGACAGGGUCCGGACUCCUCCGGGAGGCAGAGUAGGGGAAUAUUGCACAAUGGGCGAAAGCCUGACGAAGACAGGCCGCGGGUGUGAAGAAGGCCUUCGGGUUGAAAAGCACUUUCAGCGAGGAGGCGUUACUCGCAGAAGAAGCACCGGCUAACUACGUGCCAGCAGCCGCGGUAAUUC